AGAAAGACUAUCCUGGCUACCAAACCACCAUUCGCAACAGAAUUCAAGCUCAGAUUGUGAGUCGGAUAUUGACUAUCAAAUAUCAACAUCUUAUUACAUGGCACAUUGGACAAUAUCAAAUGCAUAUAAACAUAUGUAUCCUGAUAUUAAAUGGACGUUACAAAUGAGACAGAAAAACACAGAGGAUAUAUGGCACAAUGUAGAAGAUAAGAAGUUUCUAUCAAAUUCUGGUCAAAUCUUCCAACCAGUAGCAUUAGAUUAUUGUAAAACAUAUAGAAGUAGUGUGAGGUUCUGUUCGGG